AUAACUCAACUCCAACGCUCGUUAACAGGUAAAGAAGGGUUUCAUUUGAGAUGUCGAGAUAACUCAACUCCAACGCUCGUCAACAGGUAAAGAAGGGUUUCAUUUGAGAUUAUAGCGGCGGAAAUCUGGCGAAGAGCUACGGAGUUUGUUUUAUUUAACUCUGAUAACGAGUGCAUUGUUGUUUAUUGUACGCGAAAGAUAUGUACACUGAAAAUGUUUUAAUUUUUAUUGAUUUUUGAUUGUUGUAGCAUUACAAAAUAAAGUUCUUCUAUAACUUUACAAACUUUUGUCAGUUUACUGAAAACUAUGCUUGCAAGACUCUUUUGCAGAAGCCUUACAAAUGACGACUCACAGAAAAGAAAAUUUUCAAUCUUGGAAGGACGGCAAAAAUUAAUGUGGAUUAUAACUUUACAAACUUGUGUCAGUUUACGGAAAACUAUGCUUGCAAGACUGUUUCGCAGAAGCCUCACAGAAAAGAAAAUUUUCAAUCUUGGAAGGACGGCAAAAAUUAAUGUGGAUUAUAACUUUACAAACUUGUGUCAGUUUACGGAAAACUAUGCUUGCAAGACUGUUUAGCAGAAGCCUUACAAAUGACAACUCACA